rnacentral:rRNA from 1 species
UACGUAGGUCCCGAGCGUUGUCCGGAUUUAUUGGGCGUAAAGGGAGCGUAGGCGGACUUUUAAGUGAGAUGUGAAAUACUCGGGCUCAACUUGAGUGCUGCAUUUCAGACUGGAAGUCUAGAGUGCAGGAGAGGAGAAUGGAAUUCCUAGUGUAGCGGUGAAAUGCGUAGAGAUUAGGAAGAACACCAGUGGCGAAGGCGAUUCUCUGGACUGUAACUGACGCUGAGGCUCGAAAGCGUGGGGAGCAAACAGG